rnacentral:rRNA from 1 species
AUACGGAGGAUCCGAGCGUUAUCCGGAUUUAUUGGGUUUAAAGGGUGCGCAGGCGGCCAUUUAAGUCAGAGGUUAAAUCGUGGGGCUCAACCCCAUUCUGCCGUUGAUACUGGGUGGCUUGAUUGCGGUCGAGGUUGGCGGAAUUCGUUGUGUAGCGGUGAAAUGCAUAGAUAUGACGAAGAACACCGGUUGCGUAGGCAGCUGACCAGACCUCAAAUGACGCUCAGGCACGAAAGUGAGGGGAUCGAACAGGAUUAGAUACCCUGGUAGUCCGCACAGUAAACGAUGAAUGCUUGUUUUCGGCGAUAUAAUGUCGGAGGCAAAGCGAAAGCGAUAAGUAUUCCGCCUGGGGGGUACGCCGUCAACGGUGAAACUCACAUGAAUUGACGGGG